UACGUAGGUGGCAAGCGUUGUCCGGAAUUAUUGGGCGUAAAGCGCGCGUAGGCGGACCUGCAAGUCGGGGGUGAAAGCCCGAGGCUCAACCUCGGAACUGCCUUCGAUACUGCAGGUCUCGAGUCCGGGAGAGGUGAGUGGAAUUCCUAGUGUAGAGGUGAAAUUCGUAGAUAUUAGGAAGAACACCAGUGGCGAAGGCGGCUCACUGGCCCGGUACUGACGCUGAGGCGCGAAAGCGUGGGGAGCAAACAGG
rnacentral:rRNA from 1 species